rnacentral:rRNA from 1 species
UACGUAGGGUCCAAGCGUUAUCCGGAAUCGCUGGGCGUAAAGCGUGCGUAGGUGGAUGUUUAAGUGUGAUGUUAAAUCGUGUGGCUCAACCAUAUCGAUGCAUCGCAUACUGGACGUCUAGAGGACAGCAGAGGCAAGUGGAAUUUGUAGUGUAGCAGUGAAAUGCGUAGAUAUUACAAGGAACACCAAUGGCGAAGGCAGCUUGCUGGGCUACUCCUGACACUGAGGUACGAAAGCGUGGGGAGCGAACAGG